AUUGAACGCUGGCGGCAUGCUUUACACAUGCAAGUCGAACGGCAGCGCGGGCUUCGGCCUGGCGGCGAGUGGCGAACGGGUGAGUAAUGCAUCGGAACGUGCCCAGUAGUGGGGGAUAGCCCGGCGAAAGCCGGAUUAAUACCGCAUACGACCUGAGGGUGAAAGCGGGGGACCGAAAGGCCUCGCGCUAUUGGAGCGGCCGAUGUCGGAUUAGCUAGUUGGUGGGGUAAAGGCUUACCAAGGCGACGAUCCGUAGCUGGUCUGAGAGGACGACCAGCCACACUGGGACUGAGACACGGCCCAGACUCCUACGGGAGGCAGCAGUGGGGAAUUUUGGACAAUGGGGGCAACCCUGAUCCAGCCAUGCCGCGUGCGGGAAGAAGGCCUUCGGGUUGUAAACCGCUUUUGUUCGGGAAGAAAUCCUCUGGGCUAAUACCCCGGGGGAAUGACGGUACCGGAAGAAUAAGCACCGGCUAACUACGUG
rnacentral:rRNA from 1 species